rnacentral:rRNA from 1 species
GACGAACGCUGGCGGCGUGCUUAACACAUGCAAGUCGAACGGAAAGGCCCUGCUUUUGUGGGGUGCUCGAGUGGCGAACGGGUGAGUAACACGUGAGUAACCUGCCCUUGACUUUGGGAUAACUUCAGGAAACUGGGGCUAAUACCGGAUAGGAGCUCCUGCUGCAUGGUGGGGGUUGGAAAGUUUCGGCGGUUGGGGAUGGACUCGCGGCUUAUCAGCUUGUUGGUGGGGGAGUGGCUUACCAAGGCUUUGACGGGUAGCCGGCCUGAGAGGGUGACCGGCCACAUGGGGACUGAGAUAGGGCGCAGGCGCCUACGGGAGGCAGUAGUGGGGAAUAUUGCACAAUGGGCGGAAGCCUGAUGCAGCAACGCCGCGUGCGGGAUGACGGCCUUCGGGUUGUAAACCGCUUUCGCCUGUGACGAAGCGUGAGUGACGGUAAUGGGUAAAGAAGCACCGGCUAACUACGUG